GCCUUCGUGGUAUAAUGGUCAGCACACUCGACGCGUAUUCGAGAGGCCCAAGGUUCGAUUCCUGCAAGAGCA
rnacentral:tRNA from 1 species